rnacentral:rRNA from 1 species
UACGUAGGUGGCAAGCGUUAUCCGGAUUUAUUGGGCGUAAAGGGAACGCAGGCGGUCUUUUAAGUCUGAUGUGAAAGCCUUCGGCUUAACCGGAGUAGUGCAUUGGAAACUGGGAGACUUGAGUGCAGAAGAGGAGAGUGGAACUCCAUGUGUAGCGGUGAAAUGCGUAGAUAUAUGGAAGAACACCAGUGGCGAAAGCGGCUCUCUGGUCUGUAACUGACGCUGAGGUUCGAAAGCGUGGGUGGCAAACAGG